rnacentral:rRNA from 1 species
UGGGGAAUUUUGCACAAUGGGGGAAAACCUGAUGCAGCGACGCCGCGUGAUUUAGAAGGCCGUCGGGUUGUAAAAAUCUUUUCUAUGGGAAGAAAAUGACAGUACCAUAGGAAUAAGGACCGGCUAAUUACGUGCCAGCAGCCGCGGUAAUACGUAAGGUCCGAGCGUUGUCCGGAAUCAUUGGGCGUAAAGGGUACGUAGGCGGGUAAGCAAGUUAGAAGUGAAAUCCUAUAGCUCAACUAUAGUAAGCUUUUAAAACUGCUCAUCUUUAGGUAUGGAAGGGAAAGUGGAAUUCCUAGUGUAGCGGUGAAAUGCGCAGAUAUUAGGAGGAAUACCGGUGGCGAAGGCGACUUUCUGGCCAUAACCUGACGCUGAGGUACGAACGCGUGGGUAGCAAACAGG